rnacentral:rRNA from 2 species
CGAACGAACUCUGGUAUUGAUUGGUGCUUGCAUCAUGAUUUACAUUUGAGUGAGUGGCGAACUGGUGAGUAACACGUGGGAAACCUGCCCAGAAGCGGGGGAUAACACCUGGAAACAGAUGCUAAUACCGCAUAACAACUUGGACCGCAUGGUCCGAGCUUGAAAGAUGGCUUCGGCUAUCACUUUUGGAUGGUCCCGCGGCGUAUUAGCUAGAUGGUGGGGUAACGGCUCACCAUGGCAAUGAUACGUAGCCGACCUGAGAGGGUAAUCGGCCACAUUGGGACUGAGACACGGCCCAAACUCCUACGGGAGGCAGCAGUAGGGAAUCUUCCACAAUGGACGAAAGUCUGAUGGAGCAACGCCGCGUGAGUGAAGAAGGGUUUCGGCUCGUAAAACUCUGUUGUUAAAGAAGAACAUAUCUGAGAGUAACUGUUCAGGUAUUGACGGUAUUUAACCAGAAAGCCACGGCUAACUACGUGCCAGCAGCCGCGGUAAUACGUAGGUGGCAAGCGUUGUCCGGAUUUAUUGGGCGUAAAGCGAGCGCAGGCGGUUUUUUAAGUCUGAUGUGAAAGCCUUCGGCUCAACCGAAGAAGUGCAUCGGAAACUGGGAAACUUGAGUGCAGAAGAGGACAGUGGAACUCCAUGUGUAGCGGUGAAAUGCGUAGAUAUAUGGAAGAACACCAGUGGCGAAGGCGGCUGUCUGGUCUGUAACUGACGCUGAGGCUCGAAAGUAUGGGUAGCAAACAGGAUUAGAUACCCUGGUAGUCCAUACCGUAAACGAUGAAUGCUAAGUGUUGGAGGGUUUCCGCCCUUCAGUGCUGCAGCUAACGCAUUAAGCAUUCCGCCUGGGGAGUACGGCCGCAAGGCUGAAACUCAAAGGAAUUGACGGGGGCCCGCACAAGCGGUGGAGCAUGUGGUUUAAUUCGAAGCUACGCGAAGAACCUUACCAGGUCUUGACAUACUAUGCAAAUCUAAGAGAUUAGACGUUCCCUUCGGGGACAUGGAUACAGGUGGUGCAUGGUUGUCGUCAGCUCGUGUCGUGAGAUGUUGGGUUAAGUCCCGCAACGAGCGCAACCCUUAUUAUCAGUUGCCAGCAUUAAGUUGGGCACUCUGGUGAGACUGCCGGUGACAAACCGGAGGAAGGUGGGGAUGACGUCAAAUCAUCAUGCCCCUUAUGACCUGGGCUACACACGUGCUACAAUGGAUGGUACAACGAGUUGCGAACUCGCGAGAGUAAGCUAAUCUCUUAAAGCCAUUCUCAGUUCGGAUUGUAGGCUGCAACUCGCCUACAUGAAGUCGGAAUCGCUAGUAAUCGCGGAUCAGCAUGCCGCGGUGAAUACGUUCCCGGGCCUUGUACACACCGCCCGUCACACCAUGAGAGUUUGUAACACCCAAAGUCGGUGGGGUAACC